CCUACGGGGGGCAGCAGUGAGGAAUAUUGGUCAAUGGGCGGGAGCCUGAACCAGCCAAGCCGCGUGAGGGAAGAAGGUACAGCGUAUCGUAAACCUCUUUUGUCAGGGAACAAAGGCUGGGACUAGUCCCCGGCUGAGGGUACCUGAAGAAAAAGCAUCGGCUAACUCCGUGCCAGCAGCCGCGGUAAUACGGAGGAUCCGAGCGUUAUCCGGAUUUAUUGGGUUUAAAGGGAGCGUAGAUGGGUUGUUAAGUCAGUUGUGAAAGUUUGCGGCUCAACCGUAAAAUUGCAAUUGAUACUGGCAGCCUUGAGUACAGUUGAGGUAGGCGGAAUUCGUGGUGUAGCGGUGAAAUGCUUAGAUAUCACGAAGAACUCCGAUUGCGAAGGCAGCUUACUAAACUGCAACUGACAUUGAUGCUCGAAAGUGUGGGUAUCAAACAGGAUUAGAUACCCCAGUAGUC
rnacentral:rRNA from 1 species